rnacentral:rRNA from 1 species
AUUGAACGCUGGCGGCAUGCUUUACACAUGCAAGCCGAGCGGCAGCGCGGGCUUCGGCCUGGCGGCGAGUGGCGAACGGGUGAGUAAUGCAUCGGAACGUGCCCAGUAGUGGGGGAUAGCCCGGCGAAAGCCGGAUUAAUACCGCAUACGACCUGAGGGUGAAAGCGGGGGACCGAAAGGCCUCGCGCUAUUGGAGCGGCCGAUGUCGGAUUAGCUAGUUGGUGGGGUAAAGGCUUACCAAGGCGACGAUCCGUAGCUGGUCUGAGAGGACGACCAGCCACACUGGGACUGAGACACGGCCCAGACUCCUACGGGAGGCAGCAGUGGGGAAUUUUGGACAAAGGGGGCAACCCUGAUCCAGCCAUGCCGCGUGCGGGAAGAAGGCCUUCGGGUUGUAAACCGCUUUUGUUCGGGAAGAAAUCCUCUGGGCUAAUACCCCGGGGGGAUGACGGUACCGGAAGAAUAAGCACCGGCUAACUACGUG